ACACACACCAGUCACCUGGUAGGUGGAAAGAAGGUAGUAAGAAAAUAAUGAAGAUACAUCUACCAAAUAAAACAAAUUCCUAAUAAGAAAUGAAGUGUAGCAGAAAAACCAUAGGGAGCAAGGGGAAAACAGAUGGAGAAAGAUGAAUGACAACAGUAAUGAAAAUGACAAUGAUGAGAAUAAAAAAACAAUGAAAAUAAUAAUGAACAUUUCUUUGUAAGAUACACCUCAUCUAAGGAACUCACAAGAGGCUUAUCCUAUGAAAAAUGGGUUGCAGAUAAACAAUUCCUCAUGCGGGAAACCUUGUCAAUAAUGGUAAGAAGCAGCAUGGCCUAUUGGACAGGAAGAUAGGAAGAAAGAACUCAUUUUUAAAAGGACAAGCCACCAUUUUCCUUGGACGUUCAAAGAAAUGUGUGGUCCUCAAAAGCUUGGAAAUUACUGCACUAAUUUCUGUUCAUCAAAAGAUACCUUAAAUAAGCAGAAAAGCUGGAAUACAAACCAGGAGAAGAAAUUAUAAUUGUCAUCAAUAUGUGUUCUCAACAUAAUGGAUGACCCCCCACCUACACUGGUGACAGCAUAUCUUCUUUACCCGGUCUACUUCUGCAAAUGUUAACCUCUUCCAGAAACAUUUAUGAACACAUCUAGAAAUUAUGGUGUACUGGCACUCUGGGCAUCCCUUAGCCCACUCAAGGUGACACAUCAAAUUAACCAUAACAGUCCAGAAAUAAGAGGAGUAGAAAUCUUAGUGUUUUUUUUUAACUUGCUAUUUAAAUGUUUAUAAUGCAGGCAACAGAUUAAUAUCUUAAAAAUUCAGUCUAAUUACAUGUAGUCACAGAUAACUGAGUAAAUUUAGAAAUGACAGUGAAAAGUAGUAGUACAAGAAAAUCAAAAUCAAAAACAAAAAGACUUGGCCUUCAAGUAUUUUUGAAAAUAAAAACAAUGAAUUGUAACAUUUAAAUAUGUCUAUAAUAGAGUGCUAUGUUAGUAUUUUCCUCUGAUACUGACAACAGUACGCCCCUGCUAAUUUCCUUUGGGGGCUAAAAGCUAUAUGAUAUAUGCUAAUACAUUUUCUCGGGUAAAUGACUAAAUUUCAGUUCCAGGUUUAGACUUUUUUGCUUUCUCGGUCACUUGGAAGUAACUGGCAAUCGUAGAGGUUUUUCUUUUUUUAAUUUCUAUUUUAUUCAGUUUCUCAAAUUUUAUUCAGAAGUCAUUUGCUAUAU